GUAACAAGGUUUCCGUAGGUGAACCUGCGGAAGGAUCAUUAUUAUAAUGCGUGGAAAUGCCCCUAACAAGGGCUGUCUCUAUAAAACUCUAAACUUACAGUCUGAGAAGGCCAUGUGCCAUAAUCUUUAAACUUUUUAAAACCUUCAACAACGGAUCUCUUGGUUCUCGCAUCGAUGAAGAACGCAGCGAAAUGCGAUAAGUAAUGUGAAUUGCAGAAUUCAGUGAAUCAUCGAAUCUUUGAACGCACAUUGCGCCCUUUGGUAUUCCAUAGGGCAUGCCUGUUCGAGCGUCACUAACAACCCCAUCACAAAAGAGUGUGGUAUUGGCAGAAGUGGGUAGGGCUAGCAGUGCUGGCCCCACUCUGCUGGAAUGAAUAGGCCGGAAAUGUAGACCAUGGUAACAGACUUUCAGAGUAUUUUGCAAUGCUAAAUUAGUUUGUAGGCUUGGUCAGAAUCUAGGCUAUUUGGACCCCCAUUCUGCGUAAAGCAGUAAAUGUUGACCUCGGAUCAGGUAGGGAUACCCGCUGAACUUAAGCAUAUCAAUAAGCGGAGGAAAAGAAACCAACAGGGAUUGCCUUAGUAACGGCGAGUGAAGCGGCAAAAGCUCAAAUUUGAAAUCUGACACCUUUGGUGUUCGAGUUGUAAUUUGGAGAGGCAUCUUCUGGAGGGGCCCAGCCUAUGUGCCUUGGAACAGGACGUCAUAGAGGGUGAGAAUCCCCGUACUUGACUGGAUGUUCCCUCCUGUAUGUAGUGUCUUCUA
rnacentral:rRNA from 1 species